GGGGGGGGGGAUAUUUUUUUCUCUCUUUCUUACAAAAAAUUUUUGUGGUGGGGCUCAAAAAAAAAAGGGGGGGGGAAAAAAAAAAAAAAACCCCCCCCGAAAAAUUUCCCCCCAAUUUUUUUGGGGGUGGGGGGGGAACCCCCCCAGGGGGGGGCCCCGGUUUUUUUUGGUUUAAAAGGGGGGGGGUUUCGGAUAGGCACCGGGAAUUUUACCCGGGUAAAACCCUUUUUUUCCCCAUUAGAGGGAGGGGCAUGCCCUUUUCCGUUUUUUCUUGUGAAGCCUUCCGUUUUAUUCAGGCACGGAGGCAAACCCCCCGCCAACCGUUGCUAGCAGUGUUUUCCGGAAAUGAUGAGGACACUGUUGGGACCGCCUCUGCUAAAAAAAAAAAAAAAAAAGGGCAACGGUAGGUCAGCAUGCCCCGAAUUAUCCGGGCUACACGCGGGCUACAAUGGUCAGGACAAUGGGAAACGGCACUGAAAAGUGUAGUCAAUCUCCUAAACCUGUCCCAAGUUCGGAUUGUGGGCUGCAACUCGCCCACAUGAAGCUGGAAUCCGUAGUAAUCGCGUUUCAAAAUAGCGCGGUGAAUAAGUCCCUG
rnacentral:rRNA from 1 species